UCUUCAGGGUAUCAUAUAUAUAUAUAUAUAUAUAUAUACAUAUAUAUAUACACACACACACAUAUAUAUAUACACACACAUAUAUAUGUAUAUACAUAUAUAUAUGAUUAGGUUUUAUUUUAUUUAUUUUUGUAUAACUAUAUAACAUUGUGCAGAAUAUUCUAGUUGUGGAGCAUCAGAAGGCAAGAAGGCAAACAAAAAGGUAGAAGAAAAGAAAGAAGGAAGGAAGUAGGGAGAAAGAACUUGUAGAGAAGGAUAUAAGGAAGCUGUAGAUAAAAGAUGCAAAGAAGAGACAGGGGGAAGAGAAAAUGAACAGGAAAAAAAAAGAGAGAGAAGAGAGAGGAAAGGAGACCAGAGAGACGGACGAGCUUCUUGCAGACAGAUGCAUUUCCAGGCUGGAGUGCUGCCGCCCCCCCACGCACAAGCAUCCGCUCACCGCCCCCAGCACUGCGCCCCCUACGACUUCCUCUGAGCAGGAGCUUCUGUAGCUGUCGAGCUGCUCAGGCCGCCCUGGCUGGUUUUCAGCCCAAUCCCUGCUGUUUCUGAAGGAGGCUGGAGGUGGAGUAAUUAGCACUUGUUCCCAUGCCAGCGCUGUACCUGGAGAAAUGGGCUGUUGGAACACACGGUUUGGCUGAUGGAUUGCUGACCUCUUGUACUGCCCGAGGCUCGUCUGUGCACUUGAACUUCUCAGCGAACGUGGAGGUAACGUGGGAGGAGGAUGCUGGAACAGAGCCCUCCAGGCAGACUUCCCACCGCUGUGCUGGUAGAGGGUCCAAAAGCAACGCUGGGAGGCUGAACAUGACAAACAGGAGGAUUCAAUUAGGAAGAAAGACCGCGCAUCACCCGCUGGGACCACACUGCCUCAUUCCUCCGCCGGAUUCCAUCUUUGAAAUGUCUUCUGCGCUGCGCUCCCGCCCCCGCUCGCCUCCUUGAAACUUCACAGCUGGGACACAGAGGGACUUUGAAGGGCGGAAGACAAGAGGGAUUUUUCCUUCCUCCGUGGUCAUAUUUAACAGCCAGUUCCCGAAUGGUAUUAAUAAACAUUUCAACUUCAAAAACUGAACUUGACAUUUCUACAUCCUUUCCAUUGUUGCUAUGUUUUUGUCUUUGCCAUUACACAAGUGAUGUCUAUGGUACAUGCAGGAUUAAAAGGGGUUCACAAGUCUCCGGGUUCAGAAAUGUGUGUAUUUGUUGAAGUGUCUAUAGAUCCCUGGGAAGCACUGGGGUGGUCACUGUUAUCCUGGGGAUAGAAUAAUAUAUAGAGAGAUGAGUCCAAAUAUUGAAAACUUUGACAUCAGUACUCAGGGCACAGAAAGACAAAGUACAAAUAUUCUUUUGGCAAAAAGGCUGAGUGGAUGGUACAGGGUUACAGUGGGGGCCAGCUUUCAACCUUG
rnacentral:lncRNA from 1 species